rnacentral:rRNA from 1 species
GGGUGGAUUAGUGGCGAACGGGUGAGUAACACGUGAGCAACCUGCCCCUGACUCUGGGAUAAGCGCUGGAAACGGCGUCUAAUACUGGAUAUGUCCCAUCACCGCAUGGUGUGUGGGUGGAAAGAUUUUUCGGUUGGGGAUGGGCUCGCGGCCUAUCAGCUUGUUGGUGAGGUAAUGGCUCACCAAGGCGUCGACGGGUAGCCGGCCUGAGAGGGUGACCGGCCACACUGGGACUGAGACACGGCCCAGACUCCUACGGGAGGCAGCAGUGGGGAAUAUUGCACAAUGGGCGCAAGCCUGAUGCAGCAACGCCGCGUGAGGGAUGACGGCCUUCGGGUUGUAAACCUCUUUUAGCAGGGAAGAAGCGAGAGUGACGGUACCUGCAGAAAAAGCACCGGCUAACUACGUGCCAGCAGCCGCGGUAAUACGUAGGGUGCAAGCGUUAUCCGGAAUUAUUGGGCGUAAAGAGCUCGUAGGCGGUUUGUCGCGUCUGCUGUGAAAUUCCGAGGCUCAACCUCGGGCUUGCAGUGGGUACGGGCAGACUAGAGUGCGGUAGGGGAGAUUGGAAUUCCUGGUGUAGCGGUGGAAUGCGCAGAUAUCAGGAGGAACACCGAUGGCGAAGGCAGAUCUCUGGGCCGUAACUGACGCUGAGGAGCGAAAGGGUGGGGAGCAAACAGGCUUAGAUACCCUGGUAGUCCACCCCGUAAACGUUGGGAACUAGUUGUGGGGUCCUUUCCACGGAUUCCGUGACGCAGCUAACGCAUUAAGUUCCCCGCCUGGGGAGUACGGCCGCAAGGCUAAAACUCAAAGGAAUUGACGGGGACCCGCACAAGCGGCGGAGCAUGCGGAUUAAUUCGAUGCAACGCGAAGAACCUUACCAAGGCUUGACAUACACGAGAACGGGCCAGAAAUGGUCAACUCUUUGGACACUCGUGAACAGGUGGUGCAUGGUUGUCGUCAGCUCGUGUCGUGAGAUGUUGGGUUAAGUCCCGCAACGAGCGCAACCCUCGUUCUAUGUUGCCAGCACGUAAUGGUGGGAACUCAUGGGAUACUGCCGGGGUCAACUCGGAGGAAGGUGGGGAUGACGUCAAAUCAUCAUGCCCCUUAUGUCUUGGGCUUCACGCAUGCUACAAUGGCCGGUACAAUGGGCUGCGAUACCGUAAGGUGGAGCGAAUCCCAAAAAGCCGGUCCCAGUUCGGAUUGAGGUCUGCAACUCGACCUCAUGAAGUCGGAGUCGCUAGUAAUCGCAGAUCAGCAACGCUGCGGUGAAUACGUUCCCGGGUCUUGUACACACCGCCCGUCAAGUCAUGAAAGUCGGUAA